CAAUGAAGGAAGCAUAGUAAUGUUUACAUAAAUUGAAUUGAGUCUCUAGACCUGUCAUUUCUGAUGCCAUUUGACUUUGAUUUGGAGACAUGAUUUUGCAGCAAAACA